CAGCAGCCGCGGUAAUACGUAGGGUGCAAGCGUUAAUCGGAAUUACUGGGCGUAAAGCGUGCGCAGGCGGCUUUGCAAGACAGAUGUGAAAUCCCCGGGCUCAACCUGGAAACUGCAUUUGUGACUGCAUGGCUAGAGUACGGUAGAGGGGGAUGGAAUUCCGCGUGUAGCAGUGAAAUGCGUAGAUAUGCGGAGGAACACCGAUGGCGAAGGCAAUCCCCUGGACCUGUACUGACGCUCAUGCACGAAAGCGUGGGGAGCAGACAGGAUUAGAUACCCCUGUAGUCCCUGUCUCUUAUAC
rnacentral:rRNA from 1 species